GGGGGAAAAAGUCUAACUGGCGGAACUCCUGGGAACUGGGGCGAUGGGCUCUUAGUAUCGGAGGAUUGGAGCCAUCUGAUUUUUACCUGAAAUUCCUUAGUCUCUCCUGUGUUGGGGAAAUGGUCACCUUGCCUUCAGGGACCUGGGCUUUCAGCUGUCCAUACCUGGCCCUGGUUGAUGGCGGCAUGCUGGGCAGUGCACGUGAAGACGCACAUGAUGGAGUCUCACUCUAUGGCCCAAACUGGAGUGCAAGUGGUGCAAUCAAGGCUCACUGCAACCUCCGCCUCCCAGCUUCAAGUGAUUCUCGUCCCUCAGCCUCCCAAGUAGCUGGGAUUACAGAUACAGCAUUACCUGAAAAGAAGAUAACCUGGGGUAGAGGUUAUGCUUGUGUUUCUCCAGGCCAAAAUCAACAGCUGAUCUGGAUACCAUCAAUACACCU
ensembl:lncRNA MIR497HG mir-497-195 cluster host gene